rnacentral:snRNA from 1 species
AUUGCUUCUUGGCCUUUUGGCUAAGAUCAAGUGUAGUAUCAAAUAAUCAUUCACUGAAGUGAAAAUAAUAUUGACUAAUA